CCAUCAGAGAGCUCAUUCUGCCUGGGCUGGACUUUGGGAUAUAUCAAGCCAUUUGCGUAACUGUCCAGAGGCUUCACAAAGAGCUUCACCCAGGGCAUGGGCAUGGACACUUGAAUGAGGCACGAGGGUGAGUGGACGGCAGUGUGAGCCCUGAGUUGGUCAGUGGAUUGUGUUAGUGUGCUUUGCCUGUUGGGCAG